GAAAAAACCGGGGGGGACUCGUGGAGCUAUCAUAAAGCGGAAGAAGAUGAUAGGAAGAAAUGAGGGGACCCGAUUAAUAAAAAUGACGGGCCGGACCGGACCCCCCGGGGGACCGUACCCGGCGCCCGCCGGAGGAUAACCAAACUCUAUUGUAACGACGUUUCUUCUGAGUGGCAUAAGCAAAAUAAUCCAAACUUUUAACAACGGAUCUCUUGGUUCUGGCAUCGAUGAAGAACGCAGCGAAAUGCGAUAAGUAAUGUGAAUUGCAGAAUUCAGUGAAUCAUCGAAUCUUUGAACGCACAUUGCGCCCGCCAGCAUUCUGGCGGGCAUGCCUGUUCGAGCGUCAUUUCAACCCUCAAGCUCUGCUUGGUGUUGGGGCUCUACGGUCGACGUAGGCCCUCAAAGGUAGUGGCGGACCCUCCCGGAGCCUCCUUUGCGUAGUAACAUUUCGUCUCGCACUGGGAUCCGGAGGGACUCUUGCCGUAAAACCCCCCAAUUUUCCAAAGGUUGACCUCGGAUCAGGUAGGAAUACCCGCUGAACUUAAGCAUAUCAAUAAGCGGAGGAACG
rnacentral:rRNA from 1 species